rnacentral:pre_miRNA from 1 species
AAAGUACUCCCUCCAUCUCAAAAAAUUUGUCUUAGAUUUGUCUAGAUAUGAAUGUAUCUAGUCACAUUUUAGUAUUUUGAUACAUACAUUUCUAGACAAACCUAAGACAAGAAUUUUGGAACGGAGGGAGUAGUAU